AUUGGCUGACGAGUCCAACAUAGGACGUAAUGCGCAUCCUAGAU
rnacentral:hammerhead_ribozyme from 1 species